AGUUUGAUCAUGGCUCAGAUUGAACGCUGGCGGCAGGCCUAACACAUGCAAGUCGAACGGUAACAGGAAGCAGCUUGCUGCUUUGCUGACGAGUGGCGGACGGGUGAGUAAUGUCUGGGAAACUGCCUGAUGGAGGGGGAUAACUACUGGAAACGGUAGCUAAUACCGCAUAACGUCGCAAGCACAAAGAGGGGGACCUUAGGGCCUCUUGCCAUCGGAUGUGCCCAGAUGGGAUUAGCUAGUAGGUGGGGUAACGGCUCACCUAGGCGACGAUCCCUAGCUGGUCUGAGAGGAUGACCAGCAACACUGGAACUGAGACACGGUCCAGACUCCUACGGGAGGCAGCAGUGGGGAAUAUUGCACAAUGGGCGCAAGCCUGAUGCAGCCAUGCNGCGUGUAUGAAGAAGGCCUUCGGGUUGUAAAGUACUUUCAGCGGGGAGGAAGGGAGUAAAGUUAAUACCUUUGCUCAUUGACGUUACCCGCAGAAGAAGCACCGGCUAACUACGUGCCAGCAGCGCGGUAUACGGAGGGUGCAAGCGUUACUCGAAUUACUGGGCGUAAAGCGCACGCAGGCGUUUUGUUAAGUCAGAUGUGAAAUCCCGGGCUCAACUGGGAAGCUGCAUCUGAUACUGGCAAGCUUGAGUCUCGUAGAGGGGGGUAGAUUUCCAGGUGUAGCGGUGAAAUGCGUAGAGAUCUGGAGGACUACCGGUGGCGAAGGCGGCCUCCUGGACGAAGACUGACGCUCAGGUGCGAAAGCGUGGGGAGCAAACAGGAUUAGAUACCCUGGUAGUCCACGCCGUAAACGAUGUCGACUUGGAGGUUGUGCCCUUGAGGCGUGGCUUCCGGAGCUAACGCGUUAAGUCGACCGCCUGGGGAGUACGGCCGCAAGGUUAAAACUCAAAUGAAUUGACGGGGGCCCGCACAAGCGGUGGAGCAUGUGGUUUAAUUCGAUGCAACGCGAAGAACCUUACCUGGUCUUGACAUCCACAGAACUUUCCAGAGAUGGAUUGGUGCCUUCGGGAACUGUGAGACAGGUGCUGCAUGGCUGUCGUCAGCUCGUGUUGUGAAAUGUUGGGUUAAGUCCCGCAACGAGCGCAACCCUUAUCCUUUGUUGCCAGCGGUCCGGCCGGGAACUCAAAGGAGACUGCCAG
rnacentral:rRNA from 1 species